rnacentral:rRNA from 1 species
AUUGAACGCUGGCGGCAGGCUUAACACAUGCAAGUCGAGCGGGGGAAGGUAGCUUGCUACUGGACCUAGCGGCGGACGGGUGAGUAAUGCUUAGGAAUCUGCCUAUUAGUGGGGGACAACAUCUCGAAAGGGAUGCUAAUACCGCAUACGUCCUACGGGAGAAAGCAGGGGAUCUUCGGACCUUGCGCUAAUAGAUGAGCCUAGGUCGGAUUAGCUAGUUGGUGGGGUAAAGGCCUACCAAGGCGACGAUCUGUAGCGGGUCUGAGAGGAUGAUCCGCCACACUGGGACUGAGACACGGCCCAGACUCCUACGGGAGGCAGCAGUGGGGAAUAUUGGACAAUGGGGGGAACCCUGAUUCAGCCAUGCCGCGUGUGUGAAGAAGGCCUAUGGUUGUAAAGCACUUUAAGCGAGGAGGAGGCUACUCUAGUUAAUACCUAGGGAUAGUGGACGUUACUCGCAGAAUAAGCACCGGCUAACUCUGUGCCAGCAGCCGCGGUAA